rnacentral:misc_RNA from 1 species
AAGUCGUAACAAGGUUUCCGUAGGUGAACCUGCGGAAGGAUCAUUAUCCUUUUAGCGUAGUAUUACUACUAAUACUACAAGCGCUAGUACACUUAUGUGUCAAGCGUAAUAAUUCACAUUCAGCUUUGGUCUAACAGCCAGAGUUGAAUAAUGAAAAAUCCAUGUUUAGCGUUAAACAUGGUCGGGUACCUAUGCAUUAACUUGAUAUGCUCGCAUAUCAAGUUGAUCAUAAGCGGUAAUAGCUGUUACCGUGUGGCUUAAUGAUUAUUCAACUCUAUUUGAAUAACGCCCGCUCUAGCAAUGAAUAUUACCAUUAUACUAUUAUUAAAAUCGCAUUUAAUUUUGUAUUGUGUAAUAAUCUAAUGUUUAAGCAAUUAAACAUAUGAAUAAACACAAAUACAACCCUAUGCGGUGGAUCACUUGGCUC